rnacentral:siRNA from 1 species
AUACCGUCUCGUAUUACUAUCGAC